rnacentral:rRNA from 1 species
CCGUGCCCAAGAGACUGGGAUAACACCUGGAAACAGAUGCUAAUACCGGAUAACAACACUAGACGCAUGUCUAGAGUUUAAAAGAUGGUUCUGCUAUCACUCUUGGAUGGACCUGCGGUGCAUUAGCUAGUUGGUAAGGCAACGGCUUACCAAGGCAAUGAUGCAUAGCCGAGUUGAGAGACUGAUCGGCCACAUUGGGACUGAGACACGGCCCAAACUCCUACGGGAGGCAGCAGCG